UCACAGGUCAAGACUUUCAGCUUACCCAGUGAGGCACUUGCCUGGCGUAUUUCCCCAACAUCAAAGACAAGUAAGCCAAUUCCAACAAAGACCUCAAGCACACCCACACUCACAGUUGGAAUGCAUAAGGGAAAUAGAUUGGGCCAAAGAGAACUAUAUUCUGUACAAUUAGAAUGUGUGUACAAGAGAGAAAUAUACAAGAACUCUUUUAGGGACUCUUAGUAGCUCACACCACUCAAGAUGUUAUUUACAAG
rnacentral:misc_RNA from 1 species